rnacentral:rRNA from 1 species
GGUACAUCGGUGACAGGUGGUGCAUGGUUGUCGUCAGCUCGUGUCGUGAGAUGUUGGGUUAAGUCCCGCAACGAGCGCAACCCCUAUUGUUAGUUGCCAUCAUUCAGUUGGGCACUCUAGCGAGACUGCCGGUAAUAAACCGGAGGAAGGUGGGAUGACGUCAAAUCAUCAUGCCCCUUAUGACCUGGGCUACACACGUGCUACAAUGGUUGGUACAACGAGUUGCGAGUCGGUGACGGCGAGCUAAUCUCUUAAAGCCAAUCUCAGUUCGGAUUGUAGGCUGCAACUCGCCUACAUGAAGUCGGAAUCGCUAGUAAUCGCGGAUCAGCACGCCGCGGUGAAUACGUUCCCGGGUCUU